UACGUAGGGUGCAAGCGUUGUCCGGAAUUAUUGGGCGUAAAGAGCUCGUAGGCGGUUUGUCGCGUCUGCUGUGAAAACUCGGGGCUUAACCCCGGGCCUGCAGUGGGUACGGGCAGACUAGAGUGCGGUAGGGGAGACUGGAAUUCCUGGUGUAGCGGUGAAAUGCGCAGAUAUCUGGAGGAACACCGGUGGCGAAGGCGGCAUCCUGGACCGACACUGACGCUGAUGAGCGAAAGCCAGGGGAGCAAACGGG
rnacentral:rRNA from 1 species